UAUUAUGAGAGUUUGAUCCUGGCUCAGGACGAACGCUGGCGGCGUGCCUAAUACAUGCAAGUCGAACGCUUCUUUCCUCCCGAGUGCUUGCACUCAAUUGGAAAGAGGAGUGGCGGACGGGUGAGUAACACGUGGGUAACCUACCCAUCAGAGGGGGAUAACACUUGGAAACAGGUGCUAAUACCGCAUAACAGUUUAUGCCGCAUGGCAUAAGAGUGAAAGGCGCUUUCGGGUGUCGCUGAUGGAUGGACCCGCGGUGCAUUAGCUAGUUGGUGAGGUAACGGCUCACCAAGGCCACGAUGCAUAGCCGACCUGAGAGGGUGAUCGGCCACACUGGGACUGAGACACGGCCCAGACUCCUACGGGAGGCAGCAGUAGGGAAUCUUCGGCAAUGGACGAAAGUCUGACCGAGCAACGCCGCGUGAGUGAAGAAGGUUUUCGGAUCGUAAAACUCUGUUGUUAGAGAAGAACAAGGACGUUAGUAACUGAACGUCCCCUGACGGUAUCUAACCAGAAAGCCACGGCUAACUACGUGCCAGCAGCCGCGGUAAUACGUAGGUGGCAAGCGUUGUCCGGAUUUAUUGGGCGUAAAGCGAGCGCAGGCGGUUUCUUAAGUCUGAUGUGAAAGCCCCCGGCUCAACCGGGGAGGGUCAUUGGAAACUGGGAGACUUGAGUGCAGAAGAGGAGAGUGGAAUUCCAUGUGUAGCGGUGAAAUGCGUAGAUAUAUGGAGGAACACCAGUGGCGAAGGCGGCUCUCUGGUCUGUAACUGACGCUGAGGCUCGAAAGCGUGGGGAGCAAACAG
rnacentral:rRNA from 1 species